rnacentral:piRNA from 1 species
AACAGUCUUUUAGAGUGACGAGC